GACGAACGCUGGCGGCGUGCCUAAUACAUGCAAGUCGAACGCUUCUUUCCUCCCGAGUGCUUGCACUCAAUUGGAAAGAGGAGUGGCGGACGGGUGAGUAACACGUGGGUAACCUACCCAUCAGAGGGGGAUAACACUUGGAAACAGGUGCUAAUACCGCAUAACAGUUUAUGCCGCAUGGCAUAAGAGUGAAAGGCGCUUAUGGUGUCACUGAUAGAUGGACCCGCGGUGCAUUAGCUAGUCGGUGGGGUAACGGCCUACCGAGGCGAUGAUGCAUAGCCGACCUGAGAGGGUGAUCGGCCACAUUGGGACUGAGACACGGCCCAAACUCCUACGGGAGGCAGCAGUAGGGAAUCUUCGGCAAUGGACGCAAGUCUGACCGAGCAACGCCGCGUGAGUGAAGAAGGUUUUCGGAUCGUAAAGCUCUGUUGUUAGAGAAGAACAAGUAAGAUAGUAACUGAUCUUGCCUUGACGGUAUCUAACCAGAAAGCCACGGCUAACUACGUGCCAGCCGCCGCCGUAACAC
rnacentral:rRNA from 1 species